rnacentral:rRNA from 1 species
ACCUGCGGAAGGAUCAUUAUUGAAUAAACAUGAACAGGCUGUUGCUGGCCCCCCCCGGGGGGUAUGUGCACGCUUGUCAUCUUUAUAAUUUCUCCAACCUGUGCACACACCUUGUAGACCUGAAUGAAUUCUUAUUCGAGUUGGGGACUGCUGUGCUCAAUAAAAGUCGGCUUUCCCUUGUAUUUUUCAGGUCUAUGUCAUUUUCACAACCUCUAGAACACGUUUAGAAUGUUGAAUCAGGUCCUUGUACCUAUAAUAAAAGUUAUAUACAACUUUCAGCAACGGAUCUCUUGGCUCUCGCAUCGAUGAAGAACGCAGCGAAAUGCGAUAAGUAAUGUGAAUUGCAGAAUUCAGUGAAUCAUCGAAUCUUUGAACGCAUCUUGCGCUCCUUGGUAUUCCGAGGAGCAUGCCUGUUUGAGUGUCAUUUGACUUCUCUCAACCACAUUCGUCUUUUCGAUGUGGCUUGGAUGUGGGGGGAUAUUUUGCAGGCUAACUAGUUAAACUAAUAAGCCGGCUCCCCUGAAAUGCAUUAGUGGUAAUCUGAGCUGCUAUUGGUGUGAUAAUUUAUCUAUGCCUUUC